rnacentral:rRNA from 1 species
UACGGGGGGGGCAAGCGUUGUUCGGAAUUACUGGGCGUAAAGGGCUCGUAGGCGGCCAACUAAGUCAGACGUGAAAUCCCUCGGCUUAACCGGGGAACUGCGUCUGAUACUGUCAAGCUCGAGUCCGGAAGAGGCGAGUGGAAUUCCUGGUGUAGCGGUGAAAUGCGCAGAUAUCAGGAGGAACACCAAUGGCGAAGGCAGCUCGCUGGGACGUGACUGACGCUGAGGCGCGAAAGCGUGGGGAGCGAACAGG